UACAUAGGGUGCAAGCGUUGUCCGGAAUUAUUGGGCGUAAAGAGCUCGUAGGUGGUUCGUCACGUCGGAUGUGAAACUCUGGGGCUUAACCCCAGACCUGCAUUCGAUACGGGCGAGCUUGAGUAUGGUAGGGGAGGUCUGGAAUUCCUGGUGUAGCGGUGGAAUGCGCAGAUAUCAGGAGGAACACCAAUGGCGAAGGCAGGACUCUGGGCCAUUACUGACACUGAGGAGCGAAAGUCUGGGGAGCGAACAGG
rnacentral:rRNA from 1 species